AGCGAACGCUGGCGGCGUGCCUAACACAUGCAAGUCGAACGUGAAAGUAGCAAUACGAGUAAAGUGGCGUACGGGUGAGUAACACGUAGGUAAUCUACCCUAGAGUCUGGAAUAACCUGCCGAAAGGCGGGCUAAUACUGGAUAGAGCGACGGAAUCCGUAAUUGGGUUUUUCGGGAAAGGGAGCUCGCAAGAGCCCCCGCUUUAGGAUGAGCCUGCGUCCCAUUAGCUAGUUGGUGGGGUAAUGGCCUACCAAGGCUGUGAUGGGUAGCUGGUCUGAGAGGAUGAUCAGCCACACUGGAACUGAAACACGGUACAGAAUCCUACGGGAGGCAGCAGUGGGGAAUCUUGCGCAAUGGACGAAAGUCUGACGCAGCCACGCCGCGUGAGUGAAGAAGGCCUUCGGGUUGUAAAGCUCUGUCGCCCGGGACGAAAAUACUUAGGGUUAACAGCCCUAGGUACUGACGGUACCGGGAGAGGAAGCACCGGCUAACUCUGUGCCAGCCGCCGCGGUAACAC
rnacentral:rRNA from 1 species